UAAAAGUUUUUUUGCUUUGGGGUUUCAGAAAAAUCUGGAUUAAAUGCAAGUUUUGGCGGGAGAAAUUUGUAUUUAGAUAAUUGGGUUGGUUUAAAUGGCAGUAGUUAAUAUUAAAUAUUCGGGGGGCCGAGAUUUAGUGGGGUUAAAUUAGUGCAAACAAAAUUUGUGCCAGCAGUUGCGGUUAUACAAAUUGUGCAGUGAAAUUUUAUUGGGAAUAGUUAAUUUGUGGGGUAUAUAAAUUGAUGAGGAUUUAUUGGGUGAAAUUUUAAAUUUUUUGUUUGUAUGGGAAUAUGUUAAUGAAGCUAGCAAAUUUUAAUAAAAACUAGGAUUAGAUACCCUAUUAUAAAAAUUAAUGUAUAAAACCUUAAUUAUUAAAAGUUAAGUUCUUGAAAAUUAAUAAAGAUGGCGGUAUUUUAGUCUAUUCAGAGGAAUCUGCCCUAUAAUUGAUAUUCCACGAUUUAAUUUACUUAGGGUUUUAGCUUAUAUAUCGCCGUAGAUUGAGUAUUUUUUAUGAAUUAAAAUAUUCAUAGAUUUUAAGGAAAGGAUAUCAGGUCAAGAUAUAGUUUAUACCUAAGAAAGAGGUGGAUUACAUUAUUUUUAUUUUUGGUUAGUUAUUUGAAAAGGUAACUAUAAAUUGGAUUUGAGGGUAAUUUGUUAUUAAAAUUUUUUAUAUGAUUGUAGCUCUAAAAUAUGUACAUAUCGCCCGUCGCUUUCACUAUAAAGUGAAAUAAGUCGUAACAUAGUAGAUGUACUGGAAAGUGCCUCUAGAAGGGC
rnacentral:ncRNA from 1 species